rnacentral:rRNA from 1 species
UACGUAGGGUGCAAGCGUUGUCCGGAAUUAUUGGGCGUAAAGAGCUCGUAGGCGGUUCGGCAAGUCGGAUGUGAAAUCUCCACGCUCAACGUGGAGGGGCCAUUCGAAACUGCCGUGACUCGAGUCCGGUAGGGGAGUGUGGAAUUCCCGGUGUAGCGGUGAAAUGCGCAGAUAUCGGGAGGAACACCAGUAGCGAAGGCGGCACUCUGGGCCGGUACUGACGCUGAGACGCGAAAGCGUGGGGAGCGAACAGG